GAUACCAGGGACAACAAUGAAAAACCACGAUGUGCUUGCACAGGAGUGGUUUUCACUGAUUGUCCCGCCCCGGCAUGAGCAUAAAAGUGGAGCAUAAGCUUCACGAUAUGCGAAUGUUGGGUAGGAUUGUGAGAGUGCAGGGCACGGAACAAUCCGUGGGUAUC
rnacentral:sRNA from 1 species